rnacentral:snRNA from 1 species
UAGAAAAUAUCCUCUUAUAGUAUUUCUCUAGUAGGUUUCCUUAAGGAGAAAGCCUCC